UAGGGAAUCUUCGGCAAUGGGGGGAACCCUGACCGAGCAACGCCGCGUGAGUGAAGAAGGUUUUCGGAUCGUAAAGCUCUGUUGUUAAGGAAGAACGAGUGUGAGAAUGGAAAGUUCAUACUGUGACGGUACUUAACCAGAAAGGGACGGCUAACUACGUGCCAGCAGCCGCGGUAAUACGUAGGUCCCGAGCGUUGUCCGGAUUUAUUGGGCGUAAAGCGAGCGCAGGCGGUUAGAUAAGUCUGAUGUGAAAGCCCACGGCUCAACCGUGGAGGGUCAUUGGAAACUGGAAAGCUUGAGUGCAGAAGAGGAAAGUGGAAUUCCAUGUGUAGCGGUGAAAUGCGCAGAGAUAUGGAGGAACACCAGUGGCGAAGGCGACUAUCUGGUCUGUAACUGACGCUGAUGUGCGAAAGCGUGGGGAUCAAACAGG
rnacentral:rRNA from 1 species